rnacentral:rRNA from 1 species
CCCUUAGACGUUCUGGGCCGCACGCGCGCUACACUGACCAGUGCAACAAGCAUCCGUCCUUGGCCGACAGGCCCGGGCAAUCUUUGAACGCUGGUCGUGAUGGGGAUAGACUUUUGCAAUUUUUGGUCUUCAACGAGGAAUUCCUAGUAAACGCAAGUCAUCAACUUGCAUUGAUUACGUCCCUGCCCUUUGUACACACCGCCCGUCGCACCUACCGAUUGAAUGGUCCGGUGAAAUCUUCGGAUCUGAGAGAUGUCUGAUUAAUUUCGGACGCCUUUUGGAAAAGUUGCUUAAACCUUACCAUUUAGAGGAAGGUGAANUCGUAACA